GACGAACGCUGGCGGCGUGCCUAAUACAUGCAAGUCGAACGCAGUGGGGACGGGUGAGUAACAAGUGGGUAACCUCCCCUCAGAGGGGAUAACACUUGAAAACAGGUGCUAAACCGAUACUGAUGGAUGGACCCGCGGUGCAUUAGCUAGUUGGGGAGGUAACGGCUCACCAAGGCCACGAUGCAUAGCCGCCCUGAGAGGGUGAUCGGCCACAAUGGGACUGAGACACGGCCCAGACUCCUACGGGAGGCAGCAGUAGGGAAGCUGCGGCAAUGGACGAAAGUCUGACCGAGCAACGCCGCGUGAGGGAAGAAGGUUUUCGGAUGGAAAACCUCUGUUGUUAGAGAAGCGGUAUCUAACCAGAAAGCCACGGCUAACUACGUGCCAGCAGCCGCGGUAAUUC
rnacentral:rRNA from 1 species